AUGGAGUAUUCUUUGCUGUCCUUGUUGACCAUAUAUUCAUGCAUAAAGUUAGUUGUGCUGGGUUUGACCCCUCGUUUCACAAAGAUCUUGAGAUAC